GCUGGGCACGGGGGUGCACACCUGUAAUCUCAGCAACUCAGGAGGCUGAGGCAGGAGGAUUGCAAGUUUGAGAGCAGCCUGGGCAACUGAGUGAGAUCCUGUCUCAA
rnacentral:sRNA from 1 species